rnacentral:rRNA from 1 species
CCCCGGGCCAUUGCCUCAGUAGCGGCGAGUGAGCGGCAAAAGCUCAAAUUUGAAAUCUGGCGUCUUUGGCGUCCGAGUUGUAAUUUGAAGAAGGUAUCUUUGGGCCCGGCUCUUGUCUAUGUUCCUUGGAACAGGACGUCACAGAGGGUGAGAAUCCCGUGCGAUGAGAUGACCCGGGUCUGUGUAAAGUUCCUUCGACGAGUCGAGUUGUUUGGGAAUGCAGCUCUAAGUGGGUGGUAAAUUCCAUCUAAAGCUAAAUAUUGGCGAGAGACCGAUAGCGAACAAGUACAGUGAUGGAAAGAUGAAAAGAACUUUGAAAAGAGAGUGAAAAAGUACGUGAAAUUGUUGAAAGGGAAGGGCUUGAGAUCAGACUUGGUAUUUUGCAUGCUGCUCUCUCGGGGGCGGCCGCUGCGGUUUACCGGGCCAGCAUCGGUUUGGAGCGGCAGGAUAAUGGCGGAGGAAUGUGGCACGGCUUCUGCUGUGUGUUAUAGCCUCUGACGAUACUGCCAGCCUAGACCGAGGACUGCGGUUUUUACCUAGGAUGUUGGCAUAAUGAUCUUAAGUCGCCCGUCUUGAAACACGGAC